rnacentral:lncRNA from 1 species
GGGCUCAAAAUGCAAGCCCAAUCACUAUAAGGCGUGCCAUUCCCAUUCAUAAAUAACCUCAAAGUCCAAGCACAAAAUGAAUCCAAUUCUCACGAACAAAGAAAUGAAAACUAAGUUUAAUGCCAAUACUUAAAACUUGAAGGGACCAACACAUUUAAUCUUUUGGGCCGUAAAAAUCUAAUGGACUUUACUAUUGAAAAGAAAUUAUCAAGGCUUUGGGCUUUAAGGUGAAUCCAGGAUGAAAUUCAAAGGCUGAAGGAAUUCGAGGCUAACUUGGGCCCCACAAUCUCAUUUGGGCCACCUAAUUGGCUUGACUAGCCCAAGGGUGGAGUCAUGCAUCUCACCCAUUUUUAUACCUUGAUUAACCCAAGCUUCAAUUUACUUUAAACUAACUGAUUUCAUCGAGACCAAAUAAAGAUCCAACUUCCUAAUUUAAAUCUCAAUUGAAGGACAAUAAAGGAGUAACACUCAAAGAAUAUCUAUAUAUAAUGCAUUUGUAAAAGUUAAAGCCACUAUUAUCUGAUGAUGAAUUCAACACAUAUGACAAAUCUAUCAGCAGAGUACUCUAACCAUUCAAACUAGAUAUCAUUUUAAGAAGAAAAAAGCCAAAGAAAUUGUAAUGUGACCAAACAAAAAUCUGAAAUUCCAAACCUGAUUCUAAAUAAACUUAAACUAACCAAAUGAAAAAGUAUUCAAUCUAACUUAGAACAUGCCAUAAGGAGUCAAAUAUUCUACAUGUCUAAUAAUUAAAGCUUUAUCCAACAUACUAAAUUAUGAUACUGAUUCAACUUACACACAUGAUUCAAGUCAAGUGAAUAAAUGAGCAUUAAGGAAUUAAAUUAGAGCAGAGUUGAAUGAUCUUUUAAAAAAAUCAGACGACUAGAUGUUCAACAAAAAUGGAAACAGCAUCUCUGCCCGUUCGGGUAGGGGUAAGGCUCGUCUCAUAUUACCCUCCCAGACCCCACCUAGUGGGACUAUACUGGGUAGUUGUUGUUGUUGUAAAGGUUCAGGAAAAAAGCACUUGUCAUUAUAUUUCCCUGUUGGACUAUAUUUUUCACUUCAGAUGUCAUUCAGGGUGCACGAAGUACCUAAAAUUCAAGAGAAAAAAAAUUAGAAUGAAGGAUUAGCAGCAGUAACAGAUCAGCUCAUCAAUCCAAACAAAAUCAACUUCUUUCAAACUAGUAUAAAACCCAGAUGAGCACCAAUCUUUCGAGCUUUUAGAAAAUUUGGCUAAGAAAGGAACUCAAAGAACAAAAGCAAACUAACUUCAAAACAAUUUUCAGUACUUUUAAGUAUAAAAAGAAGCUUAGCCGCUCAUCUAAGUUUUUCAUUAUUGUUAAUUCACUGAAUUCUCCCAUGGAAAUGAAGAAUCAUGCCUUUUUAUAGGAAAUCUCUGGGGAAGCAGAAAUGGUUUCAUAUUCUAACCAUUACUCCUUUUAUAAUUUCAUUCUUUUAAGUUUGAAUCCCAAUUUUCUAACAUGCUUGUCAAACUACACCCGAACCCCACCUUCCAGGAAAUUUCCAAAUAUGUUAUACAAGAUUCCCCUAAACUAAAAACUCUAAAAUACUCUUUAGGCUUCUGCUAUUUACGUUCAAGACCAACCAUGGGUCAAAUUAACCAAAUAAACAAACCAAAAACCCUGGGCUCAAUGACCAGAAUGGACCCUUCCUUCUUUGGUCUUCAAACUGAUAGAGCCCAAAAUUAAUUCAAAGGUCAAAAACCCACGAGAAAAUCACCUUACAAAGUUACAAAAACUCAUGAAACCCUGAAUCCGAAGAAAACAAAAAAGUAGAAAAAAAUUUGAACCAAAUCAAAAAAAACAAAAUUAAACACACUAAACUAAACAAAACGCUAAUAAAAAUAAUCUUAAACUUAGCAUGCACAAAGAAAAAUAAUAAAGAAAAGGGAAGAAAUAGAAGAAUAUAAAAUGAGAAUAAAAGCAAAAAUUAAAGAAAGAAAAGUAGCCCAAAAAAAUACCUAGAAAUAGGCAGGUUGACCGUGGACUUUGAAAAAAUCUUCAAAACCUUUAAUUUCCAGAUUGACAUUAAUUAUGUGUUAUCAUUGAGACACAUGAAUAAAAUCAAUUUCGACCCCAAUCUUUCACUGAAAACUUGACGAUUUGAGAGAUUUGACAUUUUAGGGUUCUGACCUGAUUGAACCUUAGAUCUGAGAUUCAUAAGUCUUCGUAAUGAUUUGAAAGAAAUGAGUUGAGGAUUUGAGAUGAGGGUAUGGAAAGGAUUCCAGGCUAGGAUUGUUUAGGCGAUUUGGGGUGGCGCGGCCACCGGAGGGGGUGAAGAUUAAUAGGGCGGUGCUAGGGUUAAGGAAAGUCUCUGAUGGAGGAGAUGAAGUGAAGAGAGAUGGAACGGGGUAGGCUGUUCGGA